UCGCCCAAUGUUCGUUCGGUUUGAAAGUGACGUAAGCAGUGGUGCGCCGCGAGAGCUCCGAGCAGGUCGCUGCUAGUUUAUUUCUGUAAAGACCUAAUCUGGAUUGCGUCGGCGCAGUGCUAAACAUUAGGUUUCAAAAUACAAAAUGAAGAAGAGGGCAGAUUUAAUAUUAGAAAAAAUUGGUGUACAUCGGGAUAAUGUCAAUAAAGAAAAUGUUGUACCAUCUAAUCGUUGUGAAAUGGCUGAGACGGAUACUAUAAACUUAAUGGACCAAAAUAUUUCUGAGAGUACGCCUGAAAAUGAAAAAAUUAUGUCAUCUAGUCCUUCGGUAAUAGAAAAUUCUCCUGAUAGAUCCAUUCUAUAUAAUGAUCCAAAGUCGUUCCUUCAGCAUAGCGGAAAAAAAGUCCUGAAUAAAUGUGGAAUAG